CACUGAACAACUACACUGAGCAUUCGGGACUCUCCUUGUCCCGAAGACGGGACAAGGAGAGUCCCGAAAGCUCAGUGUAGUUGUUCAGUGUUU
rnacentral:pre_miRNA from 1 species